CCUUGCGCCGCUCUCCCGCGCCUCGUGGCGCGGACUACGCUACCCAUCGCGGCCCGCGGCUCCCGCCGGGCGGCCUGCCGCUCGGGGCUAGGCGCGGUGCAUGCUGGGGCGCGUAGUCCCCGCGCGCAGCACCUGUAACUGAGCAGUCGGUUGGCGGCCGCCCCAGGCUCCACCGCGGCGGCGCGAGUCGGCGUCCGUUAGGGGCCGGUGGAGGCGGCCAUCGUGGCGGCGGGAGCGCUGCUCCUGCUGUAGCCGGAGAGAGGCUGCGCCCUGUGGAGGUGGAAGGAGGGGGCGAGUGGUGCCAAGCGGCGCCGUGGGGCGGCAGGGGGCCGUGAGCACGGCUCGGGGUUACGCGGGCUCCUGUGCCUCAGGUCCUCUGUCUGGCUCCCCAGCACGCAGCAGCCCGUGGCUGAGGUGCUACAGGUGUGCUUGCGCGUCGCCAGAGCCACAGAAAUGAGCGUUUCUAGAACCACGGGGUGCAUGUGAGUGGCCAUUUUCUCCAGAGGCGCCAGAACAUGGCCCCAAGCUUACUCAUGAGGAAGAACAAUAAUGGAAAAAACCCAUCGCAGAGAAAUGCCUUCCUCGUGCAUACUUGAGGGUUUAGGAGUGGAACUAGUGUCUCAGGGGCUUUCAUUCUUUCCUACUUCACAGAAUCAACACGCCUAGGGGAAAGAAUUUUUUUGAAAGCAACUAUUAAAAAGGCGUAAGUCUGAAUGAUGCAAUUACUGCUCAGACGGCUACUCAGAAACCUGAGUCACCAAGCAGGACUGACAGUCUGCAGCUAUGGGGCAGGUCAUGGAGUUACACUGGGUUUUAGUUGCUUCUGUAUGCCUUCAGGUUUGUUCCCCUCAACAACUGCAGGAGCUAUAAAAGUCACCAGAGAGAAUUUUAACCAUCUUGUAAGGAUAGAGAGAUUUUUAAUAAAAUCAAAUCUAAAGUUACCUGAGAAGAUUAGAAAUCUAAGUCCACCAUUGCAAAGAGGUGCUAUGGCAAAGCAGUCAGGAGUUCUGUGGAAAGAUGUUGAGCAGUUGGAGGUGAUGUGAGGCAAUUGUGUGUGUGCACUUCAAAGACUAAAUGGUCCCCUAACACUUAGUACAGCACGUUAUAUUAAUAUUUUUGACUGCUAAAAAAACAUAGCAAUGGUGUACCCCUGGACAGAGCCUUUGGGAAGUCAGUAACAAGCACAAGGAGCUGCUGAAGUCUGUCUCACCAAUCUUGCUGAUGGCAAACUUUGUUCUAGUGCAGUCACUUUGAAAUAAGAAACAGAGGCUGUACAUCGCGUCAUGACUCCCAAAAACAUGGUCCCGAUCUAGGGUAUGAUUUCCCAGUGUAGCUGAAUGAUACUAAUGCCUCACCAUUGCCAACACAAAUACUGUCUCGAAUCUCAACAUGUAUUUGAGCCUGUUAGGAUAGUGUUCUGAUAGUGUGGUAUUAGUAUAAUGCUACUUUCCAAAGAGGAACCAGAUGCACAUUGUCAUUCUACUGCUAUUUUUAUUCAGUAUAGAAGAGUUUUGAAAUUAUAUUUUGGUAUGAUUUCUUGGUAGGUAUAGAGCCACAGAAGAAAACUAUAAAGUCUUUACUUCCAGGAAAGCUGUAAGUGUUUAAUGAAGAUCGAGUUAAUACCGAUUGGUAUGCUGAGGUUUAGAAUUUUUAGUUAAUAUACAUCUGUCAUCCGCCCACCUCCUUUUCUUUGCAAACUAAAUGGAGGCUUUCAUUCUAAAAUUGUAAAAGUGCCAAAUUAUUUACAUGAUUCACUGAAUGUUUUUGUCUUAUAGUUCUAAAAUAAAUAACUCAACCAAAGCACAAAAACAGCAGGCAUCUAAUGCCCCUUGUAAAAAUAGGCAUUUAGUUAAGGAAGAGUUUAGAAUAAUACUGUGCAGAAGCACCAAUUGCACUUAUUUUCUUUAAUAUGAUCAAGAGAACCAGCAAGAGCAUGCAAUGUUACAGUAGUGAUUUUUUUCUUGUAAUAUGGAGGGGAUCUAUUAACUUUCUUCUAGUUCAGCAAGCCAAAUCUGCUUUGUUAGAGCUCAGGCGAGCAUUUAGAGGUGAUGCAAAGUUUACCUCCAAGGAGGGAAGGAAGAAAUGUGACAGCUCUUUCUGGAACUAACAAGCUUGGUUUUGACUUCAUAAUAUUGAAGCCAUGGUAGAAGUGCACACUGAUAAAGUUUAGGUUUUACUGUCUUCUCAAUUGCUCAGUGUGUUUGCUUGGAGACAGUUAUAGUUAGGAUAGAUUUCACUGUAACUUAGGUACAUUCAGACUUUUGAUAUUAGUAAUUUUCUGCCUCUUGAUAAAUUUCAAGAGGCUCCAACAGGAACUCUUAAUAAAUAAACACAAACUGGGAGCAAUGUGAGAUAAUUUUUGCAUUUCAUUCAGAUGAGUUGAAGAGAUAAGUGGAAUUGUUACAUAUGUAUGUUUUCAGUUAUUCUAAUGAAAUAAAUAGUCUGAUGUUUUUAAAAAGUGUUAUAGAUCAGUUUGUCUAUGUUGUUUAGAGCAGAAUUUAGCUAGGCACUUCAGUAGCUCAGACAAUCAAAGGUGAACGUGAAUGAAAGGAAAUUGCUGUAAAAAUCCAAGAAUGUCAGAUGGAUUAUUAGCUGUUGUUCAGCAUGGCUUAUGGGUCAUAGAGUGUUAUUUCUUUGACCUUACUCAUACUUAUUAAAUGUGUUGAAAGACAACUGCAGGAUGUGAAUACUUCUGAUACUGUUUUUCCUCCUGUAAGCAGUUUGAUUUAUUUUUCAUGAAGAAUAUAGAUUGAAGAGAGAAAUAGCCCACAGCGAUGAAAAUGUCAGGGCAUGUGGUCCAUGGCACAAGUUUUCUGUUAAAACUAGUUCUGUCUGUGACAGUGAUAUAAGGUUCAGAUUUUUUAUACUGAGGUCUUACCUGCACUAGAAUAGUGGUUGUGGAGAAGUUAUCUGUGGGCCACGGUUAGCUAAUCUGUAGGUAUCCUACAUAACUAUGUUAAAUAAGAAAAUGUUGAAAUUUAUCACAUUAAUGGCAUUGAAAUAUUUAAUGAAAGGCAAGUUAAUUUUGCUUCCUGUUCAUUUACAGCAUCUUUAUCUAAGAUAUAGAGUGACUCACAAAAAAAUAUUGGGUGUUGAUUGUGCCAUAGUCCAGAAAAGCCUUAAGAAUUACUGUGCCAGACAAGAUUGGCAUCUUUAGCACUUUAAACUCUCAAGGAUGCUGUUACUUCACCUUAUAUUUACUUUAUAGAGACAAGAACGAAUUAUACAGUAAGGAAAUAUAUCAUUUUAUUUGAACAUUGUGCUUGAUGUAAUGGAUCCCUUCUCGUUUAUUCCUGUUUUUUAAAUUAGUUAUUCUGGUUAAACUUUCCCUUAAGCAUUUUUGGUAAAUUCGUUAGUUUUUUUUAUCACAAUAAAAACGAGAUUAAGCCCAUUAUAAAGUAAUAGUUGUACACGUCAAAAUCGAUACAUUUAUCACGUAGCUAGUGUUUUCAACUCUUUGGUUAGAUAUAUCUAGAAUAUGAAGGAACUUUGUUUACUAGUAAACAGAGUGGGAAUUUCCUGAUAUGGGUGCUAUCGAAGAUAAAAGAUAAGGAUUUCACAAAUGAGAAAUAUCCUCACAACAGCAUUCUUUUGAAUUCAGUGAGAGAAUAGUUAAGAUAGUACAGUAUACUUUUUAAAUUUUCAAACCACUUACUUUAGAGAGGUGUGUCUUUGUAUGCAAGUGCAAGUAAGGUCGCAACAAGCAAGACUGGAGAGGCACAGGAAAAUAAAAUACUGGGAUUUGUUCUUUGAAAAGUUGCAAAGCUACAUCCUUUUCUUGGAAAUGAGAUUUGCAAAUUAUGGUUUGCAAAGACAACUAUUUAAUGUAAUAAUACGAAGAAAAAUGAGAAAAGAAACUUUAAGUGAUUUCUUCAGAUCUACGUAUGCCAUUUGAUUUGAAAGCAUGGCAAAUGAAUUGCUGUCUUUACAGAUCAGAAAUGAGUUUUUGUAUGGAUUACAUUUAAAAUUCAAUAUUUACCAUCAAAACUUAAAUAGGAAAGGGAGAAAGUGAACAUGUAUGAUAGAAAUUAGCUUUUAUUACCGUGUUUCCUCAGAAUUCCAUUGUUCUCUUUCUAUCUUGGCCUUUCACAGCAUCACACAUUAGAAGUUUAACAGAAUGCAUCAUGUGAUGGAUAGUUUGGGUAAUUAAAAUUUCUUAGGAACCCAAAUGUUGUACAGUAUUUGAUGGAGAGAGAUCUUAAAUUGGCAGAAAGCUUUUUCUUCUUCAAAGGUCUGGUUUUUUGUUAGAAUUUUUCCCAAAAAACGGUCAUUGCAAAAGUAUCAGCUCGAGAGGGGAACACAGCGCUCCAAAUUUACAUCAGCUGUAUCUGUUAGAAAACAGCAGCCUUCAUCACCAUCUCUUGAAAGUGCCUUAAGAGCUGUGGGUGAGAUCUACCACGCCAACUACGGUUGUAUUUGCUUGUUAAAUAUAGGUUAGAAUAAGCAUUUUUGUCUGUUUUAUUUGCUAAUCUUUAACCUGUAUUAUCUGCUAAAUCCUUCGUUUCUUUUGCUGUUAAUCCUACGUGAUAUUUUUGGACAAGAUGUAUGAGAACAAACUGGUUAAUGAAGUGUGACCUUAAAGACACGCAGUCAGGAUGUGCAAGCCUCUAGAAUGGCCCAUACCAUUCCGCAUGCUUAGAGAGUUCAAGGACUGGGAAGUGUGCCCUGCCAGCUGGCUGUCCUUUGGGGACUUGUUUAUAUAGCUCUUGAGAGAGCCUGGUCAUGUAAUUCUUAAUUUCCUCCAAGUGUCACUCUGAUUCUAUACAGUAGCUAGGUUAUCUCAUAUAUAGGUAAGGUAGAACUUGAGCUAAAAGCUUAAUCCAUAUUUUAUGUUUUUAAGCUCACGUUUCUCUCACGUUCUUUUCUUUUAAAUUUGGUCAAAUGUGCUUAUAAAUAAUGCCCUAAACUGUAUAUAUAUUUUUUAGUCUUAGAGAUGUAGAUUGCCUGUCACCAGAAUACCGAACUGCUAGAUUGUAUGCUCCGUUUUAUAGACAGUUCUUGCACAGACUUUUGAAGAGAGCCCCGAAAUCCUGAAUUUUCAUGAUUUAAUCUAAGUAGAUUUUCAGACACUUAUCUGUUAUUAACUACUAUGUUUUGUACGGUGCUUUUUUUUUUUUUUAAAUAAUUGUAGCUCACCCAAAACAACACUGAACCGUCACUUUUCUAGAACUUACCAAAUAAAGCCAAAAGUAAAGACUGAGAUAAGCUGCCAAAAUAAAUCGUGUAAAAAUUAAUUGCAGUCUCAUUGUGUACUCAGUGGUGGUUUGAAUGCAGGGGUCUCUCAUAGUAUCCGUAGUCUGUUGUGGAAUGGAGUUCCAGAACUGAAUGUAUAUAUAUUUGCAUAAUAUAUAUUUACAAAAUAACUCUUAUCUUUAGAGAUAAAGGUCGUGAAGGGGAACUUCCAAGUAAGAAUGGAGUUUAACUAAUGUAAUAAUGGUUCAUUUUGUUGCAAGCUUUAUCAAUGAGUUCUGAGAUUACUGAUAGCCCCUAUUAUUUCAUUAAAACAUUAAAUACGUUACGCUUGUCCCUUUAAUGUGUAUUUCCUCUUUUUCUAGGGAGCUGUGUGCAUACUGUACCUUCUGUGAUGAGGCAGCUGCUUAUCAUACCUUUGAGGAUGAAGAGAGGUAUUUGCCUGCAUCUGAUCAUUCUCAUUGUUUCACCUGGUACGCUACAAUAGCUUCAGAAAUGGAAGGGUUGCAGCCCUUGGACCUUCCCCAUUCCAGCUGCAGCGAGAGUGCAAGAGAUGCGGAGGCCCUGUUUCUAACAUGACCAGCACUUUGCUCCCUCUCAUCUCACUGCGAAGAGGGACAUGUCUCCCUUACUGGAAAGGGAGACUGUUCUCCUAAUCCAGUGCACUGUGCUCAGUCUCCAUAGUGUACACAUGCGCAGAUCAACUCUUCUUAAAUGAGCACCAGUUAUCUUUGCGGAUAUAUGAUCCUGAAAGUGCAGAUGCCUCUGAACUGAACCACACUGCAGUUUUUCUAUCAGAAAGUUCUCAGAUACUCAGCAAGCUGUUAUGGAUUUUGGGACAGGAACCUGUUGCUCAUACCUAUUUCAAACAAAAAAUGUACCAUUCUGAGAGGCUUCCAAAAUUUGGGAAUGUCUACUGAUUCACCUGAAUCUUCUCGUACACACUUGGAUAUUUUGCAGCAGCUUUUUAAUUGAAGCCAGUGGCACUCAUGUCAACAGGAACAGAAUUUGCAUCAUUUUGGUCUUUUCAAACAUUUCAUUUACUGUGGCAGAACGCUACCUGCUUACCACUAGGAGGAUCAUACAGAUUGUUGAUCUCUGUAAGGAUCGCAUUAAUUACUGGAUUAAUAGAAUACAUCAAUAAUUACAUGGAAAACACUGACCAUCAGCAAGUAAAGCAUAUAGAAGUAAGUAUAUAGAAUUAAAUAAUUUCUGUUAUGCAUGAUUUCGUGUGCAAUUCUGCAUGGUUUUGUCUUAUUGCUUAUCAACACAAUUCUUGCUGGAUCAUCAGUGGGCCCAGUCAUCAACUGCAGUAUGGUUUCACAUUAGCUCCUGUUAGCCUAUUUUCUUCUACAUAUUGCAGGUAUCUCAAUGGAGGCUAUGGGAAAGGUGGGGGAGAAGGUGUUCUCAGAAACAGCGAAAGCUAUGUUAUUCAGUGCAACUAUAAUAAUGUUACAGCCAUUCAUUUUUAAUACUCUCUUCUUAGCCAGGUCUUUCAGACACAUAAAGUUCCCAGACAUCCCUGAGAUAUGGAAUAUGCCUGCUUAGAAAUUACAGGCAAAUUUGUAUCUUUUUCUCCCUGCUUUGAUUUCACUGUCUACUUUCUGGAAAUUAGAAGAGGCUUAAGAAAUAAUUUGGUACCGCUGUUGGCGCAGUUCUUCUGAGAAUAUGACAUUAAUGAUGUACCUCAAUUUUUGUCGGUCAGUUCAACAGUAGGUUUUCAUCUUUCAAAGUAACCUGUUGUUCUUUUCAUUUUCAGAUUAUGGGUAGUUGAUAUACCUGAAAUAUCUGAUAUGUAAAAAUACUGUAAAAAUAACUGGAGAGCCAGUAGUAUUUCAGGAGUGCUUUGUUCUAAAUACUUUCUUUGUCAUUCCAAGGCCCAAACAAUCAUUUCCUAGCAAGAAACGUGACAUCUUACUCCGUUCCCCUCAAAACACUGAACGCUCUAUUAAAUGGUCUGCGUGUUUUCCAACAACAGCAGUUUUGUUAUCAAUUUUUGGAACUUUCUACACAAAUGAUGCAUUCAAAACGUACAUAGAAAUUAAAGUUCCCUCAGAUAUUUUGACCCAAGGCCUAAAUAACAAUGUAACUGUUGUGGCUCUGUCAGAUAAUGGAAUCUCACUUUUAAUAAAUGGCACUUGUUAUAAAAGAGAAGCCAGUCAUUUUUUUAAAAUGUGGAGCAGAACACAAGCUUCCUGAAAGUGAAAUACUUGGAAUGCCUUCAAGAUAUUGGUGUCCAUCUGUCUAUCCAGUGCAGGUCAGUUAUUCAUAGUUCUCAUUUGACACUUAAGAUAUGGAUGGUCUUCAUUAAAUGUCUGGAAACAUCUGUUUUAGAUCUCUUUUUCAUUGUUCUAAUGCUAGGGUGAGAAUUCGAAAUGACCAGACAGCAACAAGUUUAUUUAAAGACAUUCUGAAAUAGGGUCCACACACCGUGGCUCUGUGUGAGCUCACGCAGCCAUUUGAACUUGUUUUCUAGACUCCUGGCUUAAAUUUGUAAAUUGAUUUCAGUGCAGCUUUGCCAGUUACAUUAGUUGAAAGUGUAUCCCAAAACGUCUUGAUUUCUUAGUGUACAUCCUUGAUAUGAACUUUAUGAGAAGUUAUUGUUUGCCUAAUCACUGUGUUCAUUUUUUUUAACAGAGUGGCAAACAGUUAAGUACUUUGGCAGCACGGAGGUCUACUGAGCUCUAUCUUGGGUAUAAUGAAGCAUUUAAUAAAAUAGCAGAUUGAGCGAGCUUAGCCAAGACCCUCAAUUUUCCAAAGGCUGCUUCUUUAACUGUAACAACUGUUACCUGUGACUCAGUCCCAUCUGAAGUUACAAUGUUACUUAUUUGCAAUGCCUGCAGCUCCUCCAGACUAUUUUUUCUGUCGUUUUAUAAUGAAGACAAACAACUUUGAGGCUUAAGAGAUUUUUACUUACCUGUUCCUCACAGUUCUGCUAUGAGGAUGAUACGUGUAAAUUCAGCAUUAUCUUCUGGACUGCUGUGGGAUGAUGUGUUUACUACACCUAUAAAACCAGCAGAGAUAAUGGAUAUCUUCAUGCAUCUGGAUCGACACGACCAGAAAUGACUGAUGGGGGCACUAUUCACCAGAUAAUUCUCGGAAUUUACAUUUUCUCAUCAAACUGACUGUACUUCAGAAUCCAAUUAUAAGCAGGCAUUAGAAUUGACCAGCGGUGUCAUGUCAGUUGAACUGGAGCCUAGCAUUGCUGAAAAUGCAUGUAAAUUACAGCAUCAGAUCCUGUUUUCAGCUUCUUGAGAACAGUUCAAAGGAAGGACUGAAUAAGCAGUAUCAGAUUUUAAACAGCACCUCUCAAAACCACAUCGCUUGGCCUUUUAGUCAUGAUGCCAUUUAUGUGUUCAGAGUGAGGAUAUUAGCUUUUGUGAUUUAAAAACAGUCUUUGCAGUCCGUAUAUAUGGUGUAACAGAAAGGUCAGGUGUUUCUACAGCUAAGUUUUAUUCAUUCAUCACACUCGGCCUCUUGUUUGUCUGCACCACUUUCUGCUACAGACACGGCGU